rnacentral:lncRNA from 10 species
AAUUGAAUGGCAAGCAGAGAGGUAGUCACCCUUCGACAAAUGUCUGUCUUAGUGCCAGCACUCUUCUGGAGGCUUGUAGCUGUAGUCAGAUGAGCCCCGCUAUGCCUGGCUUAACUUCAUGAAAGUUUUAUGACUUAAUAAACAAGGUGUGGUAGGAGCCAGAGUGAGACUCAGGCUGGUCGAGCCUUGCCUAAGCACUCAGGAACAGGAUCAUGUGAAACAAUACCUUGCCCAGGUCACGGCUACGUCAGGUAUCAGCACUUUGCUUAUUUCCGGCCGAAGCCCAGGAGACCAUAUUUCAGGCCUCCUUAUUCUCUGUCAACUGGACAUGGUCCACGGAGAACUCCAAAGACCAGAGGAUGAUGGAGCCUCUAGGAGGGAGGGCCCAGGGCUUCUGAAUCACCUUGUGGAAGGAUGCUGCUGAGUAUCUCAUCAGACUGUGCUAUGACUGGGGGAUGAAUCUUCAUUAGGUGACACUACUGAGAAGUGGGGUUGUUUGCUACAGUGGUAAGACUGUCUGACCAAUACAAGGUGGCUGCAAAAUCUGACUUUCCAAGGGCCCACAUACCUGCCUUAUUUUGUGCCUCAGCCUUCUCAUUUAUAAAAUGGGAUACGACAGUACUUACAUCAUAGGGAUGUGAUGAGGUAAAGUAUUUAAAGUCGGACCUGAUACUUGGUGAAAUGUUAGCCACUACGCCUAUUACUGGUGCUAUGAGACUAUUACUACUACUACUUCUAUAACCUCUACUACAGCACCCUCCCUAUUAUAGCUGUGGGGCUUUCUUUUGAGACUGGAAAGCCCAUGAGAUAAGUGGUUGCUUGUUUUCCAUGAAAGCCAGCCGUGGAUCUCCUGCUUCCCAGAGAGGGGAAAAUAGAUUUCUUGAUCAGAAUCUAUGUGAAGUAUGAGCUAAGCCAACCGAACAAAUCUUAGGUCCUGCCACCCAGGGAUUAUGUGCAAGGAAAUGGCACAUUGUCUAUUGUUAUGGAAGCCGAACACCACCUGAUGAUUCAUAAUGGAUUUAGAGGGGAGAGAUCAUUUUGGGUUAUGAGAAAAUUGUUGAAGAUUUUAUGGAGAAAAUCAAUUAGUUGCUUAGUCUAUCCAGUUCAUUUGACGGGGGUGAAAAGAACAAAUGCUGAACAUGGCCCCAGAAAUUUAAUAGCAACCAUGGAGUAAACUUGACUUUUCAAUAGGGGUUUGCCUUAUGAAGCUUAGACAAUGGGAUUGUAAACAAAGGCAAUAUCGCAUCUGUAGUGACAUCCAGGCCACUCAACCAGGAUAAUUUGAAUUGUUCUAACUGGCUAACAGAUGAAGGUUGAUGUCUGGGUCUUAGGAUGGUGCAGUUGAGAAGUUGAGUGUGGUAAUUAAGAAUGUGGUCUUUGAAGUCAAAUUUCCUGGGUUCAAAUUCAGUGGCUUACCAGUUGCAUGACCUUGGGCAAGUUACUUAUUCUGUCUGGGCUUUGAUUUCUUCAUUUGUAUUAUAAACUGGAAGUAAUCAUAUACUUCUCUUACAAGGUUGUUGUGAGGAUUAAAUGAGUUAACACAUUUCAGUGGCUUAGAAUAGAAUGAUAUUGUGAAAGGAAAUUAAAUCUUGGGACCCCAAACUCAUUAAGCCAAAGGGAAAAGUGGAGCUAGGGACGGGGUCACCCAAACCUGCCUCCCCGUUUUUCAUUCCUAAAUAAGAUGGCUACAAGAUGAAAAGCUACAUGUCUCCCCCAUAUUUUGCCUACAAGUAAAUUCCUGGUGAGCUGCAAGAUCUUUACUCUAAGGUGUUUCUGUUAAAAUUUCACCAUGGCAAUGCAAAUUGAUAGCUUAUCUUUACAGGUGCAGCCAUCCUCCUGCCCAACUGACCCAAAUGCCUAUCUGAUUAUUUCCCUGCCCCAUUUUGUCUAUGUUAUCUUAUGUAAAAUGCAGAUUGCCUGCCUUUUUCCUCUGCCUUAUUUGUCUAUGUCAUCUUACAUAAAAAAAAUGCAGAUUUAUUGAGCCAGACAAAGGCACGAAUGACUAAUUUUUCCUAGCCCCCUCUUACGUGAAAAUUGUGUACUUUGCAAUAUCCUGCCCUUUCCCCUUUAAAUUUGGAGCCCUCAGAAUCAUCUUUGGAGAAAGGCAUAGACCUGUCUCCCAGGCUCGCAUUCUUACCUUUGGCAAAUAAACUUCCUAA